UACGAAGGGGGCUAGCGUUGUUCGGAAUUACUGGGCGUAAAGCGCACGUAGGCGGAUCUGUAAGUUGGGGGUGAAAUCCCGAGGCUCAACCUCGGAAUUGCCUUCAAGACUGCAGGGCUUGAGUUCGGGAGAGGUGAGUGGAAUUCCAAGUGUAGAGGUGAAAUUCGUAGAGAUUGGGAAGAACACCAGUGGCGAAGGCGGCUCACUGGCCCGUAACUGACGCUGAGGUGAGAAAGCGUGGGGAGCAAACAGG
rnacentral:rRNA from 1 species